rnacentral:rRNA from 1 species
CACGUAGGGCGCAAGCGUUGUCCGGAAUCAUUGGGCGUAAAGAGCUCGUAGGUGGUUUGUCACGUCUGCUGUGAAAACUCGGGGCUUAACCCCGAGCUUGCAGUGGAUACGGGCAGACUAGAGGUAGGUAGGGGAGAAUGGAAUUCCCGGUGUAGCGGUGAAAUGCGCAGAUAUCGGGAGGAACACCGGUGGCGAAGGCGGUUCUCUGGGCCUUACCUGACACUGAGGAGCGAAAGCGUGGGGAG